rnacentral:lncRNA from 1 species
UAUUUCAUCUUGGAGGUAGGGCCCCAUAGAUAUUAUAUCUGCGAUAUUAUAUUUUAAUAUUAACAGAAGUGGCCAUGGCCAGAAUGACAAUGUCAAAGUUUGUUUGAAUUAUUUCGCAUAGUAAAAUUACUGUCAUUAGUUCAUAAAGUUUCGAAUUUUGUUGUUACGAAUAGAAGGUGAGUUUAAAAAGUAGUGUUGUGUUAUUGUGUACCAUAAGGUACCAUGUCAAUAGAAAAAUCUCUCUUGUUUUCUGCUUGGUGUGAAGGCAAUUCUUUGAAG